AAUCAUCAGCAUGUGCAAUCUUUCAGUGGAAUAAGAAGUCAUGAGAGAAGGGGAUAACAAAAUCAGAAUCCUUGUUCAGGAUUCUGUCUCACCUUUCAGUUUUUUAACCUCUUACCAUAUCUUCUUCUGUUUGCCUUGAUGACCCAAGCCAUAAUCAAUUAUCACUUAGCCUUGAACAAAUGUCCUGAACACCAGCCUCAUAAAAUUAAGUACAAUAUAAAUGUAUACAGCUACCACAAAAGUGGAAGCUCCUGCAUUGAAAUAGAACAAGAAGAGGCAAAUCUUGUGAUAUUCACAGCCGAAAGGAAGAGGAGAGAACUGGAAAGAAUGAAGAUAGCAGGUCAGAUUUGAUAUCUGGAUCAGGAAUUUGAAGCGUCCUCCACAAGAAAAAAGAUUCAAGAGACUGUAGUCAGAGGAGAUUAUUGUCUGCCUCUCUUUACGAGAGACACAUGAUGAAAAGAAAAAAAAGACACUUUCACAUAGCUAGUCCCUAUGUUAGCCUAUUCCUCUGAACACAUCUCACUGUUUCAGUUAUAUGGAUUAACCACUGGCUCUUGACCUCAGACACAAACACACACGAUAGUACCUGAAAUAGAUUGGGGAGAUGAGUCACAAUAUUCAGAAAGAAUUUCACAAUAAAUGGACUCCUUUGUUCUUGCAACUGUCUGUUGAAACUAACACUUCAGGGUUUUUUUAUUAUGGUGCUAUUAUUUUGUGCUCAUUAUGCUCCCAUGUUAAGUUUCUAUUUGUUUUUUGAAUCAGCUAAUGAAUACAGCCAGUUGGUUUUGUAGAGGAGAGGAUAUGAAAAUAAAAAACUGUUUGGGAAUAAAUA